rnacentral:rRNA from 1 species
GACGAACGCUGGCGGCGUGCCUAAUACAUGCAAGUAGAACGCUGAAGAGAGGAGCUUGCUCUUCUUGGAUGAGUUGCGAACGGGUGAGUAACGCGUAGGUAACCUGCCUGGUAGCGGGGGAUAACUAUUGGAAACGAUAGCUAAUACCGCAUAAAAUUGAUUAUUGCAUGAUAAUUAAUUGAAAGAUGCAACUGCAUCACUACCAGAUGGACCUGCGUUGUAUUAGCUAGUUGGUGAGGUAACGGCUCACCAAGGCGACGAUACAUAGCCGACCUGAGAGGGUGAUCGGCCACACAGGGACUGAGACACGGCCCAGACUCCUACGGGAGGCAGCAGUAGGGAAUCUUCGGCAAUGGGGGGAACCCUGACCGAGCAACGCCGCGUGAGUGAAGAAGGUUUUCGGAUCGUAAAGCUCUGUUGUAAGAGAAGAACGGGUGUGAGAGUGGAAAGUUCACACUGUGACGGUACCUUACCAGAAAGGGACGGCUAACUACGUG